UAGGGAAUAUUGGUAAUCUGGGAAACCGGGAACCAGCAACGCCGCGUGUGCGAUGAAGGCCUUCGGGUUGUAAAGCACUUUUUGAGGGGAUGAGGAAGGACAGUACCCUCAGAAUAAGCCUCGGCUAACUACGUGCCAGCAGCCGCGGUAACACGGAGGAGGCGAGCGUUAUUCGGAUUUACUGGGCGUAAAGCGCGUGCAGGCGGCUCGCUAAGUUUGCUGUGAAAGCUCCCGGCUUAACUGGGAGAGGUCGUUCAAUACUGUCGGAAGAGAGGAUGAGAGAGGGAGGUGUAAUUCCGAGUGUAGUGGUGGAAUGCGUAGAUAUGCGGAGGAACACCAGUGGCGAAAGCGGCCUCCUGGCUCAUAUCUGACGCUCAGACGCGAAAGCUAGGGUAGCAAACG
rnacentral:rRNA from 1 species